rnacentral:rRNA from 1 species
UACGUAGGGGGCGAGCGUUGUCCGGAAUUACUGGGCGUAAAGGGUGCGUAGGCGGUUUAUUAAGUUGGAUGUGAAAAACCCGGGCUUAACUCGGGAGGUGCAUUCAAAACUGGUAGACUAGAGUACAGGAGAGGGAAGCGGAAUUCCUAGUGUAGCGGUGAAAUGCGUAGAUAUUAGGAGGAACACCAGUGGCGAAGGCGGCUUUCUGGACUGACACUGACGCUGAGGCACGAAAGCGUGGGGAGCAAACAGG